CUUGGGGUGAGCUGUUCCUGUGUUAUUGCACUGUGAAUAAAUUGCUUUAUGGAACAAGCAUCUGAGGCUCUGCUGUGGGAACCCUGGGGUCGAGCUGAACAAUUUCAGAAGAAGACAGAUUUGUCUUUACUCUGUGGUUUGGAGCAACAGUUACUCAGGGGAUUUGAUAGCACGUGGCAGAGAGCUACUGUUGGCUGGAGGUGUUGGGACUGCUCAACUGGAAUCCAUGCCCUCAACACUUUGUGUGGAGCAGCCUCUCCCCUGAACAGGCAGUGGACAUGUGCUCUCUUGGUAAAGGGGCUCUGGAACCUCUCCUCAGCCUCACAGUCUGGUUCUGAGCCAUCUCAUUGUGCAGCUCAGUGACACAGGGGGGAUCUGAAAGAAUACCUCUUACUGCAACACUAAAAAACCUUUGUAUUCCAAGGACUGGAGUCUCUUGGUUGGAGUGGGGGAAAGGGGAUAGAGCACUGUAAAUCAGAAUCCUAAAUCAUUCACCUGGCUGCUGUCCUUCUAAGUAGCUC